rnacentral:rRNA from 1 species
GACGAACGCUGGCGGCGUGCUUAACACAUGCAAGUCGAACGAUGAAGAAGAGCUUGCUCUUCGGAUUAGUGGCGAACGGGUGAGUAACACGUGACUAACCUGCCCCUUUCUCUGGGAUAACGCUCCGAAAGGAGUGCUAAUACCGGAUACUCACAUCGAGGCACAUGCCUUGCUGUGGAAAGUUUUUCGGAAAGGGAUGGAGUCGCGGGCGAUCAGCUUGUUGGUGAGGUAACGGGUCACAAAGGCGACGACGGGUAGCCGGCCUGAGAGGGCGACCGGCCACACUGGGACUGAGACACGGCCCAGACUCCGACGGGAGGCAGCAGUGGGGAAUAUUGCACAAUGGGCGAAAGCCUGAUGCAGCGACGCCGCGUGAGGGAUGAAGGUCUUCGGAUUGUAAACCUCUUUCAGUAGGGACGAAGCGAAAGUGACGGUACCUAAAGAAGAAGCACCGGCUAACUACGUGCCAGCAGCCGCCGUAA